rnacentral:lncRNA from 1 species
UCGUCAAAAGUCGAAUAACAGAGCUUUUGUUUAUUUUUUUCAAAUAUUUUGAACAAUUGGAUAUUUGUCCAUGCUUACUCUUCUUUUUUUAAGAAAUGAAUACUUGAAACAUAUUGUAUUUGCUAAUUUUAAAAAGAUGACGUUUUGAUGACGUCGCAUGGCGACGUUUCAGUACAUUUUGCUUUUUCAGUAAACACUUCAUCUGUUGAUAAAUACUGUGAACGUUUUGUGUAUAUCUAAAUAUAUUUACCUAUUUUGAAAGACAUGUAUAGUAUCAAAUCAUAAAAAUACAA